UCUUGUGCAGGCCACAAGAAGGCUUAAGGGUCGAUCAAUACUUCCCCCGUAGCUUAUCACGAAUGUGGAACUGGCUGUUUGUCCAAACCAUGCUCUGUCUACAUAAAGACAUGGGACGGGGACGCCACCAAACACAAACUGCAGCUGCGGGCGGACUACUGGACUUUUACACCGUUUGGCACGCAGAGGCCCGGGAGACCGAGACACGACUUGUAUUAGUGCGAGAGGGAAAGAGCAGAGAAAAGAGAGGAGCUGGGAGAAGCAGGAGGCCACCUGAUUGGUUUGAGUGACCGAACAUUUGAAAUACGAUCCACUUUAGAAACUCAAGGUCGUCCCGGGAACAAGCCUCUGCUGCGUCUCCACGGCAAACGUUCUCCUCCAGAGCUGUGGAGUGUGACAAUGGUGUUUGUGUCCUGUGUAUCAAACGCCAUUCUCACACUAUAUAGCUACAGUGUGAAAAGGACCUCAGUGUGUUUCCCCGUAUCCUGUGCAAACUUUGUUCAACCGUGUUGCUUUUGUAGAUUUCAAACAGCCUCCGAAUCGGCAAAGCAUGUCAACGUGUCCACACGUGUCGUAUGGCAGUUGUAGCAUGGGACACGUUGCACCGAGAUGGAAAUAGACAGUGUGUUGAUGGGCCGUGCGUGAUUUCGAGCCUCUGAAUGUGACCUACUUUAUCUUUUAGUGUCUUUGGUGCUAAUUUGCCGCUGGACACCUUCACUUAUAAACACAGAUGGGACAACUGCAGAUGUCCCAUUUGUUUUCAUGCUUCAUGACAUGUCCUGGUUCUAGCUUUUACGACAUGUAAACAAGUCAUAGAAUUUUAACAGUUUUCAUUUUGUAUUUCCCUUAUUGCACAAUUGUAAUAAUUAAAAUUGUUUUAAUAAACAGUUUUUUGUUUUGUU